ACUUUAAUAAUAUAGAUGUAAUGGACUUCCAAAUUUUUAAUAACAUAAGCCAAUUUUUUUUUUUAACUUACUACUAUCCAUGUUUUCAAACAGUACUAUUUUUUAACUACUAUUCAUAUUGCCAAACAAUCUCAAUGUGUACUUCAACUUUAAUAAUAUAGAUAAGUCAAUUACGAUGGAAUUAAAAUACCCAAUAAUUACAUUAUUCUGUCAAGCAAAUAAAACAUGGUUUAAUAACAAAUACAAUUCGGUUUAACUUUUUGCUGCGACCACAUUGACGAGACCACAUUGAUGAAUCUCUACACAAGUUUUAAAUCAAAUCUCUUAGCAAAAAAAAAAAAAAAGUGCAUAAUUUUUUUUGUAACACCCACGUUCAUAAGUUAUUACUUGUAAGUUACUACUUGUAAGUUACAGCUAUCAAUACAAUACUAAAAGGGGAAUAAGAGCCUCAUUUAGGCUGUCCACAUAGGAUUGGAUAAUCAACCAAUCCGAAAAGACAUUUUUGACACGUCAGUAAAUCCUUAGAAAUGUGGGCUUCGUUACUUUUUUUUACCUCAAAAUGUUGAUGUUAAUCGGGCCCAUGGAGCCCAUUUCGUUGCUCUUCGUCUUCUUCGUUUCACUUUUCACUUUGAGAUAUGCUUGAAUGUUUUACAUUAAAUGUUCAUUAUGUUUAUCAGGUUCACAUUAUAUCACCUAAUCUUACCACGAUUUCGCAGUCAAUGCACUCUCCAAGGCGGUGCAUCUACAUCUAUAAAGAGGUUAGUCUACAUACCGUAAGCAUCGUCCUCACAAAUCCAAAUAACACUUGAAUCUGAUUGUUUUCAUGUGUUUGUCUCGAUACGUUUUCUCUUUUGUGUUUUCAUGUUUUUUCAGAUUGAAUCUAAUUAUCUUUGAUCAUCAAUUGUGUGUUUGAGAUCAUUCGAUUCUGAUUUUAUUAAUCUGAUAUCCGUAUCGGAAUUUAGGGCUAUUUAAAUCAAUUUCAGUUGAAUCGAUAUUUUUUUUCCGAAUUGGUUUAAGAUUGCAUAAACAAUAAUAAUCGUCACUGGAUUGAUCUCAGUGUGGGUUAAUCACUUCUCUAUAACCAGGACCAGGCCGACCAGAUCUUGGGAAGAAUAAACUCAGGUAGCAAGCUGAAUAAUUUUUUAAUAACGUCGCAAUAGCUAUAUCUGUUUUCUUUAAUCAUAUCAACUAGCUUGAGUAUGAUGUUCAGAAAUCAAUAACAAUGAGGAAAAAUCGCUCACUGAUUACCAAUACUUUCCAGAACCAUUUCUUCAAGAAAUAAUACUCGCUCAAGUAUAACAUCUGAGCUUCUUUGCUGGAGCUUUCUGAAGCUAAGCGCAGGAGGUAUGAGGCCCUGGGCCUUGGCACUUAACAUGUGUUCUUCCUGACAAAUGAUGCUAAUGUAAGUCCCAUAUGCUCACUACCAGCCACGAGAUCUUCUGAUGAACACUACGAAUCGCUUCUGAUCGUUUUUGUCUUAUCUACCAUUGGCUCAACACAAACCACAUGGAGAUCGAAAAUAUUUGCUGCUGCCAUUCAGUGUGAAGCAGACUUCGUCGGAAGUGUAUGGCAAAGAUUCUCUGUGAGGAGAUGGAGUUGAGAUGAGGAUGAGAGCUCCUACUUCUCUUUGAAGAAAUUUAUGGACGGUUCAGACUAUUACUCAGUUAGAGCAGGUGCUAAUUUGGAAAGAGCUUUCAUGAUGUUUUGUAUGCUCGCCGGCGGCGUUAAAGAAUUUCUAUUCUUCGGCACCGUUUUUGACUGUGCUAUUCCUGAGUUUGUAACGUGUUUUAAGAAGUGGCUUGGUUUUAUCAAGUCUUAUCAACUUCUGAUGGAUUUUUUUGGGCGUACGUUGCAAAACGUAUUGGCUUUGAAUGCAGCAGCCGAUUAGUCUCUCUUAAAUCUUUAUGUGACUAUCUCUCAACCUCUUUCCCUUUAACUCCAUCAAGAUAGGAAAUCCAUUACUUAAUCUAACUGAAAAUAUAAGUUUUUAGCCUCAUCUCCAAUUCUUCAAUCAAAAGAGUCAUGGUUCUUUUUUUUAAUCUUAUUAUCAAACUACCAUCUAAUGUCAAAAUAUUCAACUGUAAAGAAGACAGAAUGAGAAGAUGACCUCAGAAGCCCACUGGAGUGACAUAUGUUUUCUUAGACCUAAAGUUUUUCUCAACAUGUUCAACCAACAUAAAAAUGCA